CUGUAGACGAUGAGUACUAGGUGUCGGGGGUUACCCCUUCCGGUGCCGCAGCUAAUGCAUUAAGUACUCCGCCUGGGAAGUACGCUCGCAAGAGUGAAACUCAAAGGAAUUGACGUGGACCCGCGCAAGUAGCGGAGCAUGUGGUUUAAUUCGAAGCAACGCGAAGAACCUUACCUAAGCUUGACAUCCCAAUGAAAUCUCCUUAAUCGGAGAGUUCCCUUCGGGGACAUUGGUGACAGGUGGUGCAUGGUUGUCGUCAGCUCGUGUCGUGAGAUGUUGGGUUAAGUCCCGCAACGAGCGCAACCCUUGUCUUUAGUUGCCA
rnacentral:rRNA from 1 species